rnacentral:autocatalytically_spliced_intron from 2 species
AACCGCCCGGUGCGGACCCCCAUGCCGGGUGGUGUGGGAGGGGCGGAGCCAAUAGGCUCCCCCCUAUCCCGAU